rnacentral:rRNA from 1 species
AUUGAACGCUGGCGGCAGGCCUAACACAUGCAAGUCGAAUGGUAACAGGAAACUGCUUGCUGUUUCGCUGACGAGUGGCGGACGUGUGAGUUAUGUCUGGGCAACUGCCUGAUGGAGGGGGAUAACUACUGGAAACGGUAGCUAAUACCGCAUAACGUCGCAAGACCAAAGAGGGGGACCUUCCGGCCUCUUGCCAUCAGAUGUGCCCAGGUGGGAUUAGCUAGUAGGUGGGGUAACGGCUCACCUAGGCGACGAUCCCUAGCUGGUCUGAGAGGAUGACCAGCCACACUGGAACUGAGACACGGUCCAGACUCCUACGGGAGGCAGCAGUGGGGAAUAUUGCACAAUGGGCGAAAGCCUGAUGCAGCCAUGCCGCGUGUAUGAAGAAGGCCUUCGGGUUGUAAAGUACUUUAAGCGGGGAGGAAGGGAGUAAAGUUAAUACCUUUGCUCAUUGACGUUACCCGCAGAAGAAGCACCGGCUAACUCCGUG